CACAGAUUAAUUCGAAAUAGAGUCUGUCCAGGAGGAGCUUCCAUUCCAGUCUCAACCUCCAGUACCUCACGAUGUGGCGAUGUUUGGAGAUACGGCCCUGAGAGAGGUAAUCAAGCUACCAUGAGACCCCUCCGGUGGGCCCUGAUAUGAUAUGGCUGGUGAACUUGUAAGAGCAAAUCCGGACACAAACACAGAGAGAGAACAUGUGAGAACUCAGGCGGAAGACAGCCAUCUGUAAGCCAGGAGAGGACCCAGGAGAAACCGCUCCUGCUGACACCUCCAUGUCUAGUUUCCAGCCUCCAGAACUGUUGAGAAAAUAAAUUGCUAUUGUUGAAGCUA